UGCAUACGCCUCUUUGGGCGUUUCCUCCCUAAACUCAGGCCGCCUUAACGGGCGGCUUUUUUUUGCACAAA
rnacentral:sRNA from 1 species